UGCGACGAGUGGGCGGCCACGCUGGU
rnacentral:piRNA from 1 species